AGUGGGGAAUAUUGGACAAUGGGCGAAAGCCUGAUCCAGCAAUGCCAUGUGUGUGAAGAAGGCUCUAGGGUUGUAAAGCACUUUAGUUGGGGAGGAAAGCUUAUGAGUUAAUAGCUCAUAAGAAGGACGUUACCCAAAGAAUAAGGACCGGCUAACUCCGUGCCAGCAGCCGCGGUAAUACGGGGGGUCCGAGCGUUAAUCGGAAUUACUGGGCGUAAAGGGUCUGUAGGUGGUUUGUUAAGUCAGAUGUGAAAGCCCAGGGCUCAACCUUGGAACUGCAUUUGAUACUGGCAAACUAGAGUAUGGUAGAGGAAUGGGGAAUUUCUGGUGUAGCGGUGAAAUGCGUAGAGAUCAGAAGGAACACCAAUGGCGAAGGCAACAUUCUGGACCAAUACUGACACUGAGGGACGAAAGCGUGGGGAUCAAA
rnacentral:rRNA from 1 species